rnacentral:lncRNA from 1 species
GGGUAUUAAUAUUAUCAUAGCCCAUGAUUGACCCCACUGUUUUAUCUUAACCCCAUUGUUCUUAGGACUGAUAUUCUGAGCGGGCUCCAAGCUAAUUGGACACGUGUUUAGCCCUAGGUUGCCUGCAGUGCACACGGUUCCCUCUGUUCCUAGGACUGAUAUUCUGUACAGGCUUCAAGCCUGCUGGACACGUGCUUCACCCCGGAGUUGCAUGCAGAGCUCGCGAUCUCCUUUCUAUGAGCUCCUUGGGUAUACAC